UCCCUGGAGGACUAGUGGUUAGGCCUUGGCACUCUCGCAGCCACGGCCCGGGUUCGUCUCCCGGCGAGGGAA